CUCGUAGGCGGCCGUUUUAGUCCGACGUGAAAUCCCACGGCUCAACCGUGGAACUGCGUCGGAUACUGGACGGCUUGAAUCCAAGAGAGGGAUGCGGAAUUCCAGGUGUAGCGGUGAAAUGCGUAGAUAUCUGGAGGAACACCGGUGGCGAAGGCGGCAUCCUGGAUUGGUAUUGACGCUGAGGAGCGAAAGCCAGGGGAGCAAACGGGAUUAGAUACCCCGGUAGUCCUGGCCCUAAACGAUGAAUGCUUGGUGUGGUGGGUAUCGAUCCCCGCCGUGCCGAAGCUAACGCAUUAAGCAUUCCGCCUGGGGAGUACGGUCGCAAGGCUGAA
rnacentral:rRNA from 1 species